UACAGAGGGGGCAAGCGUUGUUCGGAAUUACUGGGCGUAAAGGGCGCGUAGCGGCCGCCUAAGUCAGAUGUGAAAGCCCCGGGCUCAACCUGGGAAUUGCAUUUGAGACUGCGUAGCUAGGGUGCGGAAGAGGGAAGCGGAAUUUCCGGUGUAGCGGUGAGAUGCGUAGAUAUCGGAAGGAACACCAGUGGCGAAAGCGGCUUCCUGGUCCAGCACCGACGUUCAGGCACGAAGCGUGGGAGCAAACAGG
rnacentral:rRNA from 1 species